ensembl:snRNA U6 U6 spliceosomal RNA
AUAUAAUAAACAUAUAUAUAUUAAAAUUGGAACCGCAUGAGAAGACUAGCAUGGCAUCUGUGCAAAGCUGGCAAGCACAAAUAUUAAAUGUUCCAUACAUCU